AGCGAGGUGGGGUAGUCAGGAGAUCCCGACGGGCUCAUAACCCGUAGACCGAUGGUUCAAAUCCAUCCUUCGCUA
rnacentral:tRNA from 1 species